rnacentral:lncRNA from 1 species
UAAAAAAGCAAAUGAAGAAAGAAAAAAUUUUACUUGGAAAUAAUUAUUAUAUAUAUAUUUUAUUACACUUUAGGUUCUGGAGUACAUGUGCAGAACAUGCAGCAUUGUUGCAUAGGUCCUUGAGGAAUUGCCACACUGUCUUCCACAAUGGUUGAACUAAUUUACACUCCCACCAACAGUGUAAAAGUGUUCCUAUUUCUCCACAUCCUCUCCAGAAUCUGCUGUCUCCAGAUUUUUUAAUGAUCGCCCUUCUAAUUGACAUGAGAUGGUAUCUCAAUAUAGUUUUGAUUUGCAUCUCUCUAAUGACCAGU